AUUGCAACACAGACUUAGAGAUAGGUGAGAGCCCCAAAGACUUCCUCUUGUGAGUGCCCAUGGAGAAAGGCAUUGGAUACAUCUAAUGAGGGAUAGGCCAAUCAUUCUGCACAUUGAUAGAUAUAGGGUUUAGGGUUUAAAGAAAGAAUAGAUUAUUUCUAAUUCCUGAAGAGCGUGUAGGAGUUUGAUUGUGGGAACCCAAAAUGACCACACACUAUGACCAUAAUGAUUUGAUUUCUAGAUUGUCAGGAAAAUAAUCUCUUUCUCUACAAAAGGUAAUUAUACUUGGAAUGUGAUUUGGCUGAGGAAAUCUCAUGUAAGCUUUCUCUUUCUCUAAAAGAAUAACCGAAACAAACAGGAUAUUCUUUUGAGUUUUCUGAUGCAAGCUUUCUCUGUCUUAGACACAAUGGGAUGUUUCUAACUUUCUAUACUGACUAAUUAUUUAGUUAAUUAGUUCCUUUUCGUUUUCUGUUUUCAGCAGUUGUUGCAAUUCGUUUUCAUGACUCUUGCUAUGUCAAAAUGACUAUAUAAGUGGACCAUAUGUAAGUGCUAACUUCGCCAUCCGUUUUCCUGUUUGUUCUGUUUUUGUCCCCUUUUAAAUGCAUUCUGGUAGCAAAUGUUUGAAGUUACUUAUAUUUAUUUCUCUGCAGCCUAUCUACUUUUUUGGUAUGGAUCAUCAUAUUAUAGAAACUCAAAGUCUGUUUAACUAAGCAAACAGAUGAUAAGUUCUCCAAGAACAGAGAAAUUCUAUUGAAUCAAACCAUGCAGCUUAAAAGGAAAACAAGACUGAUUUUCCAAAAGCUAAAGGCGGUUGGUAGAUGCCUAGACUUGAAGUGGCAUGGCAUUUAAUAAAUUCAAAUUGUAAGUUAUUGAUCAUUGGUGUUGCACUUGUGGUGAUUCUGUUGAUCAUUCUCAUCACCAAACACCCAAAGAAUUACCUAUACCCAACACGCAUAACAUCUGGAGCAGCAGCUUUGGUGUUUUCAGCCUUCUACAUCAUGCUGAAGGCAUCUUUGCAAGGUUCAUCAACGGGUGGUAUUACAAGGACCCCCAUAAUACGCUAGUACAUUUACAUACCUUCAUUCUUUUCCUGCAAUUACCAUGUUAGAUAGAUUAUUAUCUCACCAAAACUCAUUCGAUACGACUGCUCAUGCAGUCAUGCUUGCUAUACAUAGCUGACUAUGAUUACUCGCAUUCUCUUUUCCAUUGAAGUGGUUUUAUAGCUUUACUUUUCAGCUAAUACUGAUAUGAGUAAUAUUUUUGCUACUUGUGGCAGAUAUAUUGGAUCCAGAAGCACAUUUUUGUUGGGAUUUGGCAUUCAAGGAGAGUAGGCAUUCUACUCUAUGUAAUCUUCGCAGAGAUCUUGUUUUGGGGCAUUGUCGCUGGCAUUUUGCAUUGGUUGGGCAUAUAUUGGAAGCUUUAAAUUCUACUUUUAGCACUUUGUAUUCACUGUAGUGAAUCUUGGACUCUUGAACUACUUGUUUAUGCCUUUAUUUCUUCUAAACUCUGUGAAGAACUGCAGUAGCUUAAACUUUUAAUUUUUAAUUUUUCUCUGAGAAUAAAUAAAGAUAUUUAUAUUUAAUAUUUUAAGUUACUAAUUAGAACCUAAUUAACAGGUUAAAAAGAUGGCUUUAAAGAUGACACCAUUAACUAAAAUAAUGCCAUGUAACGUGGAGCAUUGUAGAUUUUACCACUAAUUGUUAUGAUAUGGUUGUGCUCUGCGUUUUAGGGGUCUUUACCGAGCUUAUUCAGCAGAUGCAAGUAAAAGGUGCGCAGGACCUUUUAUAUACCAAGUCAGAAGCCAACUGACGCCAACCAAGUCAGGACCAAAUUUUGUGAUGCAUUGCAGUACCUCUCUUACGACUUCAGCCAGAUAAGAACGACAAGGAUUUGGAUCGGGCGAGUGAGAGGCAGGAUCUUGAAGGAAAAGAGCUAAAGCAAGAAACUACUUUGCAUGAACUGGAGCUGGUUGCCGUCCAUGCUCUUCAUGAACUUGUUUCUUUAGUUCACAGUCAUGUCAAUGCUGCAGGGCAAUAUGAUUUUGAGUAAGGCUAGAUUUUGCUGACUAUUUUGUAGUAGAUGUAGUGAUAUCAGGAUGAAUUGUGAACAAAUUAUACUGCAUGUAGUUAUUGCAGUAGCGGUAUCUUCUAGACUAGCCUUAAAGUAGGUUAGGGUUUAUUGUGCAAAAUUUUUGAAGCUACCUCAAGCUCUAAUUUUGUAUAGAAAUUAAUGCAAUUCCCCAAUAUUUGAAUUUCAUGUUA